rnacentral:rRNA from 1 species
UGAAUCAGUGUGUGUGUUAGUGGAAGCGUCUGGAAAGGCGCGCGAUACAGGGUGACAGCCCCGUACACAAAAAUGCACAUGCUGUGAGCUCGAUGAGUAGGGCGGGACACGUGGUAUCCUGUCUGAAUAUGGGGGGACCAUCCUCCAAGGCUAAAUACUCCUGACUGACCGAUAGUGAACCAGUACCGUGAGGGAAAGGCGAAAAGAACCCCGGCGAGGGGAGUGAAAAAGAACCUGAAACCGUGUACGUACAAGCAGUGGGAGCACGCUUAGGCGUGUGACUGCGUACCUUUUGUAUAAUGGGUCAGCGACUUAUAUUCUGUAGCAAGGUUAACCGAAUAGGGGAGCCGAAGGGAAACCGAGUCUUAACUGGGCGUUAAGUUGCAGGGUAUAGACCCGAAACCCGGUGAUCUAGCCAUGGGCAGGUUGAAGGUUGGGUAACACUAACUGGAGGACCGAACCGACUAAUGUUGAAAAAUUAGCGGAUGACUUGUGGCUGGGGGUGAAAGGCCAAUCAAACCGGGAGAUAGCUGGUUCUCCCCGAAAGCUAUUUAGGUAGCGCCUCGUGAAUUCAUCUCCGGGGGUAGAGCACUGUUUCGGCAAGGGGGUCAUCCCGACUUACCAACCCGAUGCAAACUGCGAAUACCGGAGAAUGUUAUCACGGGAGACACACGGCGGGUGCUAACGUCCGUCGUGAAGAGGGAAACAACCCAGACCGCCAGCUAAGGUCCCAAAGUCAUGGUUAAGUGGGAAACGAUGUGGGAAGGCCCAGACAGCCAGGAUGUUGGCUUAGAAGCAGCCAUCAUUUAAAGAAAGCGUAAUAGCUCACUGGUCGAGUCGGCCUGCGCGGAAGAUGUAACGGGGCUAAACCAUGCACCGAAGCUGCGGCAGCGACGCUUAUGCGUUGUUGGGUAGGGGAGCGUUCUGUAAGCCUGUGAAGGUGUGCUGUGAGGCAUGCUGGAGGUAUCAGAAGUGCGAAUGCUGACAUAAGUAACGAUAAAGCGGGUGAAAAGCCCGCUCGCCGGAAGACCAAGGGUUCCUGUCCAACGUUAAUCGGGGCAGGGUGAGUCGACCCCUAAGGCGAGGCCGAAAGGCGUAGUCGAUGGGAAACAGGUUAAUAUUCCUGUACUUGGUGUUACUGCGAAGGGGGGACGGAGAAGGCUAUGUUGGCCGGGCGACGGUUGUCCCGGUUUAAGCGUGUAGGCUGGUUUUCCAGGCAAAUCCGGAAAAUCAAGGCUGAGGCGUGAUGACGAGGCACUACGGUGCUGAAGCAACAAAUGCCCUGCUUCCAGGAAAAGCCUCUAAGCAUCAGGUAA